GGCCUAAAGCGGCCGUAGCCGGGCCCGUAAGUCCCUGGCGAAAUCCCACGGCUCAACCGUGGGGCUCGCUGGGGAUACUGCGGGCCUUGGGACCGGGAGAGGCCGGGGGUACCCCCGGGGUAGGGGUGAAAUCCUAUAAUCCCGGGGGGACCGCCAGUGGCGAAGGCGCCCGGCUGGAACGGGUCCGACGGUGAGGGCCGAAGGCCAGGGGAGCGAACCGGAUUAGAUACCCGGGUAGUCCUGGCUGUAAAGGAUGCGGGCUAGGUGUCGGGCGAGCUUCGAGCUCGCCCGGUGCCGUAGGGAAGCCGUUAAGCCCGCCGCCUGGGGAGUACGGCCGCAAGGCUGAAACUUAAAGGAAUUGGCGGGGGAGCACUACAAGGGGUGGAGCGUGCGGUUUAAUUGGAUUCAACGCCGGGAACCUCACCGGGGGCGACGGCAGGAUGAAGGCCAGGCUGAAGGUCUUGCCGGACGCGCCGAGAGGAGGUGCAUGGCCGCCGUCAGCUCGUACCGUGAGGCGUCCACUUAAGUGUGGUAACGAGCGAGACCCGCGCCCCCAGUUGCCAGUCCCUCCCGCUGGGAGGGAGGCACUCUGGGGGGACUGCCGGCGAUAAGCCGGAGGAAGGGGCGGGCGACGGUAGGUCAGUAUGCCCCGAAACCCCCGGGCUACACGCGCGCUACAAUGGGCGGGACAAUGGGACCCGGCCCCGAAAGGGGAAGGGAAUCCCCUAAAGCCGCCCUCAGUUCGGAUCGCGGGCUGCAACUCGCCCGCGUGAAGCUGGAAUCCCUAG
rnacentral:rRNA from 1 species